rnacentral:rRNA from 1 species
UUGAUCCUGGNCUCAGGAUGAACGCUAGCGGGAGGCUUACACAUGCAAGUCGAGGGGUAACGAUGUAGCUUGCUACAGGCGACGACCGGCGCACGGGUGCGUAACGCGUAUGCAACUUUCCUUAUACAGGAGGAUAGCCCAGGGAAACUUGGAUUAAUACUCCAUAAUGUCACCAGGUCGCAUGGCCAGGUGAUUAAAACUCCGGUGGUAUAAGAUGGGCAUGCGUAGGAUUAGCUAGUAGGUAGUGUAACGGACUACCCAGGCAACGAUCCUUAGGGGUUCUGAGAGGAUUAUCCCCCACACUGGUACUGAGACACGGACCAGACUCCUACGGGAGGCAGCAGUGAGGAAUAUUGGUCAAUGGGCGCGAGCCUGAACCAGCCAUCCCGCGUGCAGGAUGACGGCCCUAUGGGUUGUAAACUGCUUUUCUACGCCAAGAAAGGCCCGUACGCGUACGGGAUUGACGGUAGCGUAGGAAUAAGCAUCGGCUAACUCCGUGCCAGCAGCCGCGGUAAUACGGAGGAUGCAAGCGUUAUCCGGAUUCAUUGGGUUUAAAGGGUGCGCAGGCGGGCUUGUAAGUCAGUGGUGAAAUACUGCCGCUUAACGGUAGAAUUGCCAUUGAUACUGCGAGUCUUGAGUAUGGUCGAGGUAGGCGGAAUGUGCAGUGUAGCGGUGAAAUGCAUAGAGAUUGCACAGAACGCCGAUUGCGGAGGCCAGCUUACUAAGCCAUAACUGACGCUGAGGCACGAAAGCGUGGGGAGCGAACAGGAUUAGAUACCCUGGUAGUCCACGCUGUACAC